UUUUGACCUCGGAUCAGGUAGGGAUACCCGUUGAACUUAAGCAUAUC
rnacentral:rRNA from 1 species